GGCAGCGAGACUCCCGCCGCCUCCGCCGCUGCUGCAGCCACCAGCAAGUCCAAUACCGGCUGAUCAGCGAUGAGGAUGGAGAGGGUAGCAACCCCAGCAGUCGCCCUACUGACGGACAAUUGCUGUCUGCUACAACUGAGUGUCCCCCAAAACAGGCUCUGAGAAAUUACCUCAUGGAAGGCUCUUUAUGACCUGUGAUGUUCCAGAUGGUGGCAACCCUUCCAGCUGCAUCUCUGAAUGAAGACACCCUGGAACAGUGCCCCCAGCCAUCCUAUGACAUAUGAUCAAAAGUAAACAUUCUGAGCCGGGCGGUGGUGGCGCACGCCUUUAAUCCCAGCACUCGGGAGGCAGAGCCAGGCGGAUCUCUGUGAGUUCGAGGCCAGCCUGGUCUCCAAAGCGAGUUCCAGGAAAGGCGCAAAGCUACACAGAGAAACCCUGUCUCGAAAAACCAAAAAAAAAAAAAAAAAAAAAAAGUAAACAUUCUGGUUGCUAACUGCUAACAAGGACUCCAUUGUCACAGUAGCACAAUGGUGACAUCUGACACGUGUCAUCUUUCAAUUCCAUAUCUCACCUUUGCUACCUUGUGUUUCUCUCCUUAUUUCUUACCCAAUAUUUAUACUUAAUAUUCUUUUCCAUCCUGUUCAAGCUCAGGAUUUCCCACAAAGUGUUCGAUAAAGAACCAGUUAUGUAAA